rnacentral:rRNA from 1 species
UACGUAGGCAGCGAGCGUUGUUCGGAGUUACUGGGCGUAAAGAGUGCGUAGGCGGUUUUCUAAGUUUGGUGUGAAAUCUCCCGGCUCAACUGGGAGGAUGCGCCGAAGACUGGAAGGCUCAGAGUGUGGGAGAGGUAAGCGGAAUUCCUGGUGUAGCGGUGAAAUGCGUAGAUAUCAGGAGGAACACCUGCGGUGUAGACGGCUUACUGGACCAUAACUGACGCUGAGGCACGAAAGCGUGGGUAGCAAACAGG